UACGUAGGGGGGCGAGCGUUGUCCGAAGUUACUGGGCGUAAAGCGCGCGUAGGCGGGGGAUUAAGUGAGAGGUGAAAGGCUGGGGCUCAACCCCAUGCAGUGCCUCUCAUACUGUUCUUCUUGAGGGCGGUAGGGAGAAGUGGAAUGGCUGGUGUAGCGGUGAAAUGCGCAGAUAUCAGGAAGAACACCUAUGGCGAAGGCAGCUCUCUGGGACGGUACUGACGCUGAGACGCGAAAGCGUGGGAGCGAACAGG
rnacentral:rRNA from 1 species